rnacentral:rRNA from 1 species
UACAGGGGGUGCAAACGUUGCUCGGAAUCAUUGGGCGUAAAGCGCACGUAGGCGGUUCGUUAUGUCGGAUGUGAAAGCCCUUGGCUUAACCGAGGAAGUGCAUCCGAAACUGGCGAGCUAGAGUACUAAAGAGGAUCGCGGAAUUCCACGUGUAGCGGUGAAAUGCGUAGAGAUGUGGAGGAACACCAGUGGCGAAGGCGCUUUCUGGUCUGUAACUGACGCUGAGGCGCGAAAGCGUGGGGAGCAAACAGG